ACUUAAAUAGCUUAUAGUUAGAGCAUAAUAUUGAAGAUAUUAUGGAAGUAUGUAUUACUUUUAAGUA
rnacentral:tRNA from 1 species